AGUGUGAGGUUAAUUCCUGAAUCUGAUCAAAGGUUUUGCAUAGAUUCCGUACUUUCUUUGCCGCUGUCUUUCCCACUUGGUUCUAACUAGAAGUUACCAGUUCUGAAGUAUCAUUCACACGAAAUAAUUUGUAUCUGAUACCUUCAGUCUGCUAUGCUCACCUUUAAGGAGAAUUACUGCAUUGGUUUGUGUCAGGAUAUGCAAAUUUGAGCUGCGACACACACGGUCUUGGAGUGCUCAUAAUGACAAAACACGCAGUAGUCACUUAGCUGGGUUCGAAUGCAAACAGGCCUAAAUGCAAUAAUAAGCGAGUGUUGUUAAGAUGCAUGGCCAGCAAUUUUUUUUUUCCCCAAACUCAAAAUUUUUGCCAAAGAUGAGGAAAUCCUUCAAGGGAAUGUUGCAGGUAAAGAACAGCCAACUUGCUGUUGCUUAGUACAGCUAUCAAUAGCACGCUGAUGAUAUCGGACAGAUAUCUACAAUAUGUCAUUUUGUUAACUGUCUAAUGUUUCUAGACCCAAUUGACAUGUUUUUCAACUGCUGCAAUGGAUUAGCUGAAGAUAGGUACUUAGGAACAGCAGAGGUGGAGCAUUCCUCUGAUAGCCAUGGCUUAGAUAGCUUGUAGUAGGGAUCUCAUAAGCUGUUUCAAGAGGAUUUUUAGCUGAGGCUCCUGAUGUUAUGGAGGGUAUCCUUUUUCCAGUUUGAUCUGAAGACUGAAGGUAUUCACCAUGCAAUCUGCUGUAAAUAUCUGGGCCAAGGAUUGUCAAUCCUGUCAAGGUGUUCCUGAUGUUGUCUUCCGUCAUAAACUUCCAGUUAUACAUCUGAGUGCUGUGUCCGCUGGAGGAUUCAAGUUUAUUGGCACCCAAGAAUCUGUAACCACAAUUUAGGAAACAGUACAAAGACACUCAAAUAUGCUUUCAGAAACAUGGUUCAUCUUCUUUUAAGUGGAAAUCAUGAGUUUGGACUACUCAUCUGAGGUUUACUAUUCUAAUUGCACGGCCUCGUGGCUGAUGCACGCGGACCAAGUAUCUCACGUACAAAACAGUCAUCAACUGGAUCCGCAGUUCUUCUACCCUGUGAGGUUCACUAUUGAGUAUUACAGUCCUGUUUACGCAUGUUCCUCCCACGGAGUGACGGAAGAUUGCUCUGGUUCCUUCUCUUCCACCAAUGUACUUGUUUGGCGACUUUAUUACUGUGGUCAGUGCUUGUAACUUGUAACUGUUGGAAGGCUCCAACUGUCCAGUUUUAGGCACGGUGACCAUGUUCAAGUACUCAUAUGUCAAAGAGUGGGUUGGGCUAGUUAUGUUGAGGGACAUGUGGCUGGAUUCUCCUCUUUCCUUCAAAGUCCAAAAGGUUGCCAAGCUUUCUGUUUGUACAUGUCUGCCCAUACUUAUGUGAACCACUUAAUACUUGUCAGUGUUGAAUCA